GGUUAAGCGACUAAGCGUACACGGUGGAUGCCCUGGCAGUCAGAGGCGAUGAAGGACGUGCUAAUCUGCGAUAAGCGUCGGUGAGGUGAUAUGAACCGUUAUAACCGGCGAUUUCCGAAUGGGGAAACCCAGUGUGUUUCGACACACUAUCAUUAACUGAAUCCAUAGGUUAAUGAGGCGAACCGGGGGAACUGAAACAUCUAAGUACCCCGAGGAAAAGAAAUCAACCGAGAUUCCCCCAGUAGCGGCGAGCGAACGGGGAGGAGCCCAGAGCCUGAAUCAGUGUGUGUGUUAGUGGAAGCGUCUGGAAAGGCGCGCGAUACAGGGUGACAGCCCCGUACACAAAAAUGCACAUAUUGUGAGCUCGAUGAGUAGGGCGGGACACGUGGUAUCCUGUCUGAAUAUGGGGGGACCAUCCUCCAAGGCUAAAUACUCCUGACUGACCGAUAGUGAACCAGUACCGUGAGGGAAAGGCGAAAAGAACCCCGGCGAGGGGAGUGAAAAAGAACCUGAAACCGUGUACGUACAAGCAGUGGGAGCCUCUUAAUGGGGUGACUGCGUACCUUUUGUAUAAUGGGUCAGCGACUUAUAUUCUGUAGCAAGGUUAACCGAAUAGGGGAGCCGAAGGGAAACCGAGUCUUAACUGGGCGUUAAGUUGCAGGGUAUAGACCCGAAACCCGGUGAUCUAGCCAUGGGCAGGUUGAAGGUUGGGUAACACUAACUGGAGGACCGAACCGACUAAUGUUGAAAAAUUAGCGGAUGACUUGUGGCUGGGGGUGAAAGGCCAAUCAAACCGGGAGAUAGCUGGUUCUCCCCGAAAGCUAUUUAGGUAGCGCCUCGUGAAUUCAUCUCCGGGGGUAGAGCACUGUUUCGGCAAGGGGGUCAUCCCGACUUACCAACCCGAUGCAAACUGCGAAUACCGGAGAAUGUUAUCACGGGAGACACACGGCGGGUGCUAACGUCCGUCGUGAAGAGGGAAACAACCCAGACCGCCAGCUAAGGUCCCAAAGUCAUGGUUAAGUGGGAAACGAUGUGGGAAGGCCCAGACAGCCAGGAUGUUGGCUUAGAAGCAGCCAUCAUUUAAAGAAAGCGUAAUAGCUCACUGGUCGAGUCGGCCUGCGCGGAAGAUGUAACGGGGCUAAACCAUGCACCGAAGCUGCGGCAGCGACACUAUGUGUUGUUGGGUAGGGGAGCGUUCUGUAAGCCUGUGAAGGUGUACUGUGAGGUAUGCUGGAGGUAUCAGAAGUGCGAAUGCUGACAUAAGUAACGAUAAAGCGGGUGAAAAGCCCGCUCGCCGGAAGACCAAGGGUUCCUGUCCAACGUUAAUCGGGGCAGGGUGAGUCGACCCCUAAGGCGAGGCCGAAAGGCGUAGUCGAUGGGAAACAGGUUAAUAUUCCUGUACUUGGUGUUACUGCGAAGGGGGGACGGAGAAGGCUAUGUUGGCCGGGCGACGGUUGUCCCGGUUUAAGCGUGUAGGCUGGUUUUCCAGGCAAAUCCGGAAAAUCAAGGCUGAGGCGUGAUGACGAGGCACUACGGUGCUGAAGCGACAAAUGCCCUGCUUCCAGGAAAAGCCUCUAAGCAUCAGGUAACAUCAAAUCGUACCCCAAACCGACACAGGUGGUCAGGUAGAGAAUACCAAGGCGCUUGAGAGAACUCGGGUGAAGGAACUAGGCAAAAUGGUGCCGUAACUUCGGGAGAAGGCACGCUGAUAUGUAGGUGAAGCGACUUGCUCGUGGAGCUGAAAUCAGUCGAAGAUACCAGCUGGCUGCAACUGUUUAUUAAAAACACAGCACUGUGCAAACACGAAAGUGGACGUAUACGGUGUGACGCCUGCCCGGUGCCGGAAGGUUAAUUGAUGGGGUUAGCGGUAACGCGAAGCUCUUGAUCGAAGCCCCGGUAAACGGCGGCCGUAACUAUAACGGUCCUAAGGUAGCGAAAUUCCUUGUCGGGUAAGUUCCGACCUGCACGAAUGGCGUAAUGAUGGCCAGGCUGUCUCCACCCGAGACUCAGUGAAAUUGAACUCGCUGUGAAGAUGCAGUGUACCCGCGGCAAGACGGAAAGACCCCGUGAACCUUUACUAUAGCUUGACACUGAACAUUGAGCCUUGAUGUGUAGGAUAGGUGGGAGGCUUUGAAGUGUGGACGCCAGUCUGCAUGGAGCCGACCUUGAAAUACCACCCUUUAAUGUUUGAUGUUCUAACGUGGGCCCCUUACCGGGGUUGCGGACAGUGUCUGGUGGGUAGUUUGACUGGGGCGGUCUCCUCCUAAAGAGUAACGGAGGAGCACGAAGGUUGGCUAAUCCUGGUCGGACAUCAGGAGGUUAGUGCAAUGGCAUAAGCCAGCUUGACUGCGAGCGUGACGGCGCGAGCAGGUGCGAAAGCAGGUCAUAGUGAUCCGGUGGUUCUGAAUGGAAGGGCCAUCGCUCAACGGAUAAAAGGUACUCCGGGGAUAACAGGCUGAUACCGCCCAAGAGUUCAUAUCGACGGCGGUGUUUGGCACCUCGAUGUCGGCUCAUCACAUCCUGGGGCUGAAGUAGGUCCCAAGGGUAUGGCUGUUCGCCAUUUAAAGUGGUACGCGAGCUGGGUUUAGAACGUCGUGAGACAGUUCGGUCCCUAUCUGCCGUGGGCGCUGGAGAACUGAGGGGGGCUGCUCCUAGUACGAGAGGACCGGAGUGGACGCAUCACUGGUGUUCGGGUUGUCAUGCCAAUGGCACUGCCCGGUAGCUAAAUGCGGAAGAGAUAAGUGCUGAAAGCAUCUAAGCACGAAACUUGCCCCGAGAUGAGUUCUCCCUGACUCCUUGAGAGUCCUGAAGGAACGUUGAAGACGACGACGUUGAUAGGCCGGGUGUGUAAGCGCAGCGAUGCGUUGAGCUAACCGGUACUAAUGAACCGUGAGGCUUAACCUU
rnacentral:rRNA from 2 species